rnacentral:rRNA from 1 species
GUGGGGAAUCUUGCGCAAUGGGCGAAAGCCUGACGCAGCCAUGCCGCGUGAAUGAUGAAGGUCUUAGGAUUGUAAAAUUCUUUCACCGGGGACGAUAAUGACGGUACCCGGAGAAGAAGCCCCGGCUAACUUCAUGCCAGCAGCCGCGGUAAUACGAAGGGGGCUAGCGUUGCUCGGAAUUACUGGGCGUAAAGGGCGCGUAGGCGGACAGUUUAGUCAGAGGUGAAAGCCCAGGGCUCAACCUUGGAAUUGCCUUUGAUACUGGCUGUCUUGAGUACGGGAGAGGUGAGUGGAACUCCGAGUGUAGAGGUGAAAUUCGUAGAUAUUCGGAAGAACACCAGUGGCGAAGGCGACUCACUGGCCCGUUACUGACGCUGAGGCGCGAAAGCGUGGGGAGCAAACAGGAUUAGAUACCCGUGUAGUCC